AAUAUUAUUUACUUUUUGAACUCAUUUGGUUGUUAACAUUGACCAUGUAGGUGGUCAGCACUUUUAAUGUGAUAGUAGCGUGUUGGUAAUUUUUGAGGGUACAAAUAUUUGUGGCUGGCAGUUAGCAAACUUCUUUUCACUUGGAUCUGCAACACUAGCUUGUGACACAUGGCUUUCAGUGGAAUGUGAAGUAAUAGACAAUGACUCUUGCUCCUCCACUAGCUUGAUAGUGGUAAUUAGAACUCUGCAUGGUCUGUUACGGUGUUAUCUAUGUGUAGGUGAUAAGGGUUGAAAUUUAAUGCAUGAAACUGAAUUGCAAAAUUAAUAAAAAAUAAAUUGUUCCCUGAAAAUUACUAACGGUAUGGUAUUGAUACAUGUUGUACACAGACAGUUGGAGUUUGACUAAACAAUAUCACAGCCAUCAUAAGCAUGCAGAAGGCUUAGUGGCUAUUAUAGAUCCCACUUUGAAGUGCCCUCCACUAUCUCAGUCACAAAUAACAUUAUGAAAUAAUUAUUAUAAACUUUCUUUCCAAAGCUUAAUAUCAUUUGAUAACAAAUGUGCUGUACUUGGCAUUUGUUCAUGUACAUCUAUGUUCAUUAUCCCGCAAACAGGCAGGCUCAUAGCGUUUGUGUAACUCUGUCAUUUUUCGAAAAGAAAUAGCUAAGAAUGAUCGUGUGAAGCCAUGUUUAAUUAUAAUUUUUUUAGACAUUGAACUCAUUCCUUGGCAGUCUCCCUCGAACAGAAUUCUGCUUUUACUCUAACAAUGAGACUGAGAUAAAUUCUGCUGGAAAUUAUUCAUACAUGUAUAGUAGAACUGAUAACUUUGGAUUAUUUGUGACAUUCUUAAUACAUUCUGAUGUUCCCAAAGGCAAACUACUCACACUUGACUUGACAGGAAAGGAGCUACAUACCAAGAUUAUCAGAGCCAAAGUAGAACAGAUAUAAAUUUGCAUGUGUUUUCAGUUUUCAAUACAUCUAAAGCUACAAACUGCUCUAAAAAUUGGUGUGCAAUCGAAGCUUGUGUCGUUGUAGCUGCACCAAUGGGCACAAAAAAUUUGAUAGAUUUUGAGAUGUUUUCAAAAACAUGUGCCAAUUGCUUCUGUUCACAGGAACUUGACUUUAUACAAAAAACUGAAAAAAAUAUAUUGAAAAUGUCAAAUGAAUCUUGUGCUACAGUAGUAAAGCCUUUUCCUGAAAAGUACAGAAGGCAUGGUUUAAUUUCAAUCUACUUAUCUCAGGUUGACAAAGAGAAGGCACAGAAUAAUAUAUUCAAGAUUACAUUAGUUUUUAUAGCACUGUUGAUAGUAUUUUUAAUUGGUAUGACUUGUACACAGUAUAAACAACCACAAAUGUCACACAAUGAUUGAAGUCAUUAUAUUUACAAGUACAACUAUUA